rnacentral:other from 1 species
AUAUUCCUGCUUGGUGCGUAAUGUGUCCUUUUGGACCCACAUUUUUUAAUCGGGACGUUAGUUUCCCUUCUGGUUUGCAGACCUCCCGCCCCCGCUUUGACGGAUGGUGGAUGUUGGGAGCAGUAAAGGACGGGAGCGGCAACCCACCUGCCAUUUUGUGCAGGUCAUAAUCGGAUGCAUACGGCUAAAGCGGGGUGCAU